rnacentral:rRNA from 1 species
UACGUAGGGGGCAAGCGUUGUCCGGAUUUAUUGGGCGUAAAGAGCGUGUAGGCGGCUAGGUAGGUCCGUUGUGAAAACUCGAGGCUCAACCUCGAGACGUCGAUGGAAACCAUCUAGCUAGAGUCCGGAAGAGGAGAGUGGAAUUCCCGGUGUAGCGGUGGAAUGCGCAGAUAUCAGGAGGAACACCAACGGCGAAGGCAGCUCGCUGGGACGGUACUGACGCUAAGGCGCGAAAGCGUGGGGAGCGAACAGG